rnacentral:lncRNA from 1 species
AAGAGGGGCUGGCUCUCUGUCCCCUCGUCGCGGGGGUUGCAUCCCCCCCCUGUGAUGGGGGUCCCAAGAGCCAGGGGGGGAAGAAGGGCUGGCUCUCAGUCCCCGCCUCACUAGCAGGGGAGUUGCUGCCAAGGCCCUCAAACAUGGGGGCCAUCCUUUAGAAACCCUGUCUAGUUGUUUAGAGACAUAGGCCACCGACCUCAUCCAGGGCCCCACAGUUUGGGUUAAAAGUCCACCUGCCAUCUUUUCUCUCUCUGACACAUACAAUGGAAAAGGCUUUGUCAGAUCGGGUAACCCCAGGGCUGAAGCUGCCAGAAGUUUUUCCUUUAACUCAUGAAAGACUUGCUGUUGUUAGGAUCCCCCUUCCAAAGGUUCCCGGUCCCCGACCCCUUUGUGACCUCAUACAAAGUCUUGGCUUAUACUGCAAAGUUUGGGAUCCACAGUCUACAAAACCCCACAGCUCCUGAGAAUUCUCUCGCCUGCCUUCGGCCCUUAGGCUCUGGUAGAUUGCAAAUAACAUGCUUUCUUUCUGUUCCCGGGUGGCUUCGGACCCCUGUCGGAUCGGAAAUCCCAAGUAAGGUACCUGCCCUGGGCAGAUUUGAGCUUUCUUCUUGGACACCUAAUACCCACAGUCCUCCAGUGUUUUAGACGCCCAGCUGCACAACUUGAUUGCCUUACAAAUGACCUGCUUCCAGGAUGCGGAAAUUCCUAAUUUCUUCUGUGACCCUUCUCAACUCCCCCAUCUUGCAUGUUGUGACACCUUCACCAAUAACAUAAUCAUGUAUUUCCCUGCUGUCAUAUUUGGUUUUCUUCCCAUCUCUGGGACCCUUUUCUCUUACUAUAAAAUUGUUUCCUCCAUUCUGAGUGUUUCAUCAUCACGUGGGCAGUAUAAGGCCUUCUCCACCUGUGGGUCUCACCUGUCAGUUGUUUGCUGAUUUUACGGAACGGGCGUUGGAGGGUACUUCAGUUCAGAUGUGUCAUCUUCCCCGAGAAAGGCUGCAGUGGCCUCAGUGAUGUACACGGUGAUCACCCCAUGCUGAACCCCUUCAUCUACAGCCUGAGAAACAGGCAUAUUAAAAGUGUCCUGCGGCG